UAGGUGGGAGGCUUUGAAGUGUGGACGCCAGUCUGCAUGGAGCCGACCUUGAAAUACCACCCUUUAAUGUUUGAUGUUCUAACGUGGACCCGUAAUCCGGGUUGCGGACAGUGUCUGGUGGGUAGUUUGACUGGGGCGGUCUCCUCCUAAAGAGUAACGGAGGAGCACGAAGGUUGGCUAAUCCUGGUCGGACAUCAGGAGGUUAGUGCAAUGGCAUAAGCCAGCUUGACUGCGAGCGUGACGGCGCGAGCAGGUGCGAAAGCAGGUCAUAGUGAUCCGGUGGUUCUGAAUGGAAGGGCCAUCGCUCAACGGAUAAAAGGUACUCCGGGGAUAACAGGCUGAUACCGCCCAAGAGUUCAUAUCGACGGCGGUGUUUGGCACCUCGAUGUCGGCUCAUCACAUCCUGGGGCUGAAGUAGGUCCCAAGGGUAUGGCUGUUCGCCAUUUAAAGUGGUACGCGAGCUGGGUUUAGAACGUCGUGAGACAGUUCGGUCCCUAUCUGCCGUGGGCGCUGGAGAACUGAGGGGGGCUGCUCCUAGUACGAGAGGACCGGAGUGGACGCAUCACUGGUGUUCGGGUUGUCAUGCCAAUGGCACUGCCCGGUAGCUAAAUGCGGAAGAGAUAAGUGCUGAAAGCAUCUAAGCACGAAACUUGCCCCGA
rnacentral:rRNA from 2 species